rnacentral:rRNA from 1 species
CCGGCGCACGGGUGAGUAACGCGUAUCCAACCUGCCCACCACUUGGGGAUAACCUUGCGAAAGUAAGACUAAUACCCAAUGAUAUCUCUAGAAGACAUCUGAAAGAGAUUAAAGAUUUAUCGGUGAUGGAUGGGGAUGCGUCUGAUUAGCUUGUUGGCGGGGUAACGGCCCACCAAGGCAACGAUCAGUAGGGGUUCUGAGAGGAAGGUCCCCCACACUGGUACUGAGACACGGACCAG